AUUGAACGCUGGCGGCAGGCCUAACACAUGCAAGUCGAGCGGGGUUUUCGGACCUAGCGGCGGACGGGUGCGUAAUGCGUAGGAAGCUGCCCGAUAGAGGGGGAUACCAGUUGGAAACGACUGUUAAUACCGCAUAAUGUCUACGGACCAAAGUGUGGGACCUUCGGCCCACAUGCUAUCGGAUGCGCCUACGUGGGAUUAGCUGGUUGGUGAGGUAAGGGCUAACCAAGGCGACGAUCUCUAGCUGGUUUGAGAGGAUGAUCAGCCACACUGGAACGGAGACACGUUCCAGACUCCUACGGGAGGCUGCAGUGGUGAGUAUUGGUCAAUGGACGGAAGUCUAAACCAGCCAGGCCGCGUGCCGAAAUACGGUCCGCUGGAUUGUAAACUGCUUUUGUUAGGAAAGAAACUUCCGUUGGUGUCCGGGACUGACGGCACCUAAAGAAUAAGGAUCGGCUAACUCCGUGCCAGCAGCCGCAGUAACAC
rnacentral:rRNA from 1 species